GAUGAAUCCAAACCGUUCGAGGUCUUCUGUGAUGCCUCUCUUCAAGGUCUUGGUGAAGUGUUGAUGCAAGAGAAGAAAGUUGUGGCCUAUACCUCUCGCCAGUUGAAGCCCAACGAAAAGAACUACCCCACUCACGACCUCGAGUUGGCGGCAGUUGUGCAUGCUCUUUUAACUUGGAGACAUCUCUUAUUGGGACAAAAAGUGGACAUCUUCACUAAUCAUAAGAGUCUCAAGUACAUCUUCACUCAGCCUAACCUCAAUCUCAGACAGACUCGUUGGGUCAAAAUGAUUCAAGAGUAUAAUUCGAGUAUCGAAUAUACUCCAGGCAAGGCCAAUGUAAUUGCUGACGCAUUAAGCAGGAAGGCUUACUGCAACAGUUUGAUUCUCAAGCCUUACCAACCCGAGCUUUGUGAAGCUUUCCGCAAACUCAAUCUGCAAGUUGUUCCUCAAGGUUUCCUCGCCAACCUCCAAGUCUCUCCUACUUUGGAAGAUCAGAUUCGCGAGGCCCAACUCUUUGAUGCUAUGGUGAAGAAGGUGAAGAUUGGGAUUGCCAAGAGUCAAUCCAAGUACAAGUGUUAUCGCCUUGAUGACAAGGAUACUCUAUUCUUCGAGGAUCGCAUUGUUGUGCCUAAAGGUGACCUUCGUAAAGUCAUUAUGAACGAGGCUCACAAUUCACUCCUCUCCAUCCACCCUGGAAGUACAAAGAUGUACCAUGACCUCAAGCAGUCGUAUUGGUGGACUCGAAUGAAGCAUGAGAUUGCUCAGUUCGUGAACGAAUGUGAUGUCUGCAGAAGAGUGAAAGCAGAACACCAACGACCAACUGGUCUCCUCCAACCUCUUGCCAUUCCAGAAUGGAAGUUUGACCACAUUGAUAUGGACUUCGUGACUGGAUUUCCAAAGUCCAAG
rnacentral:rRNA from 1 species